CCCAACAGAACAACCGUCCCCUUCCUCCCAAAAACCGAAUCAAAAGAAUGUUGGAUAAUAACAUCCCUUCCGAGAUUCAAACGGAAAUCAUUCAGAGAAUCCCCGAUACAAAAUCUGUGAUUCGGUGCCGAUCGGUGUCAAAGGCAUGGAGGGCUGAGAUCGACAGCAAGGAGUUCGUUAAGGCUCAUACCCUCCGCCAUCAUCAGGCCCACAAUCGUCAUCAUCUGCCUUAUAAGGACACGAGAUCGCCGCCGUGAUGGACCGGUAAAAUACGUGUCCAUUGUGGAUGAUGAUGACACUUUCCCUCAUCAAAAGGUACACAUUUUAAACCAAGCUCUGUAUGCCACUAUAUAAUACGUACAAUAAUUCGAUCACAGGUGUGUUUCUCAAUCACUUGUCCUGUUAACUAGAGUAUUACAGUAGCUCCAACUUGUGCGCAUAUGGUUUUGGCCAGAAUCUUGUGGUUAUCAUUAUUUAGUAAAGAUUAUAGAUGCUGUUAGUGGCUACUGAGUUGAGUUUAUUGUGCAGUGUGGCAAAAAAUUGUAUUUAAUUUUUUUUUUUAUUGUUGUCGGAGAAACUCCUUGAAAAGUACUCUAUUGCUAAAAUGAUGAUGGAUAGCGUACAUCAAAAUGAUUUCUUGUUUUGUGAGAUGUGAAAGCAUGCUGUCUUUUGGAUUCCAGAAAGUACGUUCAAUGCCAACUUUGCAAGUUCAAAAAGAAGGCCAAAGUUGUUGAGGAACACUAUUAAGAUUCUGAUUUCGAUCUAGACAAGAAAAAGCUUUAUCCCAAAUUUCACAGAAUCUCCCCUGAAUUGUUUCUGACUUAUCAACAUUCAACAGAUAGAUAUGGUGGUUGGUUUGUUCAACUGGGUUGAAGAUGAACAACAACAGAAACGGGAUUUAUCAACAAAGUGUGUGAUACGGUAAUGGGCGAGCUUGGUCAGAAGCCUUUUAUCGAUGUUGUUCUGACCCGAGAUAGAUAAUGAACCCACUUUGGCCAUUGUCCCGAGUGCAAGAAGGCAUUCAUUUUGAUGUGCUUUGCUGUGAGAUUCUUGCAAUAUGUAACCUUUUCUUUGGAACUGCUGUAUUGUAUUAAAGAAAGAGAUUUAACGAGUUGCUUGGAUCAUACAGUUUCGUCUAAGACAGCUGCAAUAUGUAAACCAAUGUCGAAGUGGGUAAACAUAAACUCAUUGAAUACUCACUUGGUUUUCAGGUUGACCAGAGUUAGUAUACUAAGUGUGGAUUUGUUUAGUUUUAUUAAAAUAUGAAUUUUUUUUGAUUUUGUUUGUAAAAGUGUGCUCCAAUUGCUAUGAGUUUUAAGUUUAUAAAAGAAAUAAAAACAAAUGUGUCUGUCUCUUA